rnacentral:lncRNA from 1 species
AAUAGCCAUUAGAGCCUUCUUUUAAAAGUAUUAUAUAUAUAUAUAUUAACAUAAGUUCAGAUGAGAGAAUCUGCUACAGUUGGUAUGUUAACUUAUGUGACAUAUCAACUGAUAACUUAUGUUAAUAUAUACAGGGUGUUUCCAAAGUCCACCGACAAACUUCCAAGGCGGGUUCUGCUCAUGAAAAUGAAUGGGGAGUGUCUUAUGAACAUAGUGUCAGAAAUGCAUAUUUUUCGAGAUAAACCAGUUUUUCACCCGAAAGUCAUAGAAUGUAUAAUCCGCACAUAAUAUGAGAUAUUAUCAUCAAAG